AUCCUAGCUGGAAAGAAGACGGAUUUCGGACCAAGACGCUUGAUUCCCCAAAGCCAUGGCGCAGCGUACAAAAGAAGCUGAAGGGAGAGGAGCUAGUCUGCUGGAGGAAGAAGACGAAGGAGCCAGGAGAACUGCACCGAUCUGAUGAUGGCCUCUUGACUCACAUGAGAGGAGUACAAGAGCAGAUCAACCACGCCAUCAUCAUGCACCAUGCAUCUCUCUCCCUCUCGCUUUCUGUCACCUCCCCAUCUCUCUCCUCCUCCGCGGCCCCCUCGCACGCCGCCGCCCUUCUCUCUCCGCCCCCGCUUUUCUCAUCGACUAUAGCUUCUCCGGCCUCUUCCUCUUGGAGGUAGGUGGAGGCGACUCUUGAGGUGCGGUGUGGCAAUCAUGGCGGCCGAGGGCCCGAGGAGCUUGCUGGGGCAGCAUGAUUGCAUCUUGGAAGUAGUAGGGGGAGGAGAGGCUGCAGAGGCUCCUCGCAUCACAUGGUGUGGCAUGAUGGAGGCACACAUCUCGCUAGCAGCCGCAAACAUCUCCCUUGGUUUAUUGGGCUCGCUCGAUCGGCCUCGCUGAUCUUCUUUCUAGGGGGUCUCCUCCCCCUUCCUCCUAUAAUGUGAUGGUGAC
rnacentral:lncRNA from 1 species